rnacentral:rRNA from 1 species
CUCGUGUUGUGAAAUGUUGGGUUAAGUCCCGCAACGAGCGCAACCCUUAUCCUUUGUUGCCAGCGGUUCGGCCGGGAACUCAAAGGAGACUGCCAGUGAUAAACUGGAGGAAGGUGGGGAUGACGUCAAGUCAUCAUGGCCCUUACGAGUAGGGCUACACACGUGCUACAAUGGCGCAUACAAAGAGAAGCGACCUCGCGAGAGCAAGCGGACCUCAUAAAGUGCGUCGUAGUCCGGAUUGGAGUCUGCAACUCGACUCCAUGAAGUCGGAAUCGCUAGUAAUCGUAGAUCAGAAUGCUACGGGGAAUACGUUCCCGGG